rnacentral:rRNA from 1 species
CCCUUAGAUGUCCUGGGCCGCACGCGCGCUACACUGAUGCAUGCAACGAGUUUAUAACCUUGAUUGAUAGGUCUGGGUAAUCUUUUGAAUGCGUAUCGUGCUAGGGAUAGAUUAUUGCAAUUAUUAAUCUUGAACGAGGAAUUCCUAGUAAACGCAAGUCAUCAGCUUGCAUUGAUUACGUCCCUGCCCUUUGUACACACCGCCCGUCGCACCUACCGAUUGAAUGACUCGGUGAAAAAUCGGGACUGUGGUCUAGCUUGCUUAAUUGCAAACUUGACUGUGGGAACUUUCUUUAACCUAGUCAUUUAGAGGAAGGUGAAGUCGUAACA